GGCGAACGCUGGCGGCGCGCCUAACACAUGCAAGUCGAACGAGCGAGAGAGAGCUUGCUUUCUCGAGCGAGUGGCGAACGGGUGAGUAACGCGUGAGGAACCUGCCUCAAAGAGGGGGACAACAGUUGGAAACGACUGCUAAUACCGCAUAAGCCCACGGCUCGGCAUCGAGCAGGGGGAAAAGGAGCAAUCCGCUUUGAGAUGGCCUCGCGUCCGAUUAGCUAGUUGGUGAGGUAACGGCCCACCAAGGCGACGAUCGGUAGCCGGACUGAGAGGUUGAACGGCCACAUUGGGACUGAGACACGGCCCAGACUCCUACGGGAGGCAGCAGUGGGGAAUAUUGCACAAUGGGGGAAACCCUGAUGCAGCGACGCCGCGUGGAGGAAGAAGGUCUUCGGAUUGUAAACUCCUGUUGUUGGGGAAGAUAAUGACGGUACCCAACAAGGAAGUGACGGCUAACUACGUG
rnacentral:rRNA from 1 species